rnacentral:rRNA from 1 species
GUGAGGAAUAUUGGACAAUGGGCGCAAGCCUGAUCCAGCCAUGCCGCGUGCAGGAAGACGCAUCUAUGGUGUGUAAACUGCUUUUGUACGGGAAGAAACACUCCCUCGUGAGGGAGCUUGACGGUACCGUAAGAAUAAGGAUCGGCUAACUCCGUGCCAGCAGCCGCGGUAAUACGGAGGAUCCAAGCGUUAUCCGGAAUCAUUGGGUUUAAAGGGUCCGCAGGCGGUUUAAUAAGUCAGUGGUGAAAGCCCAUCGCUCAACGAUGGAACGACCAUUGGUACUGUUAGACUUGAAUUACAAGGAAGUAACUAGAAUAUGUAGUGUAUCGGUGAAAUGCUUAGAUAUUACAUGGAAUACCAAUUGCGAAGGCAGGUUACUACUUGUGGAUUGACGCUGAUGGACGAAAGCGUGGGGAGCGAACAGGAUUAGAUACCCGUGUAGUCC